rnacentral:ncRNA from 1 species
ACAAUAGAGGCGCGCCUCACGAUGAGUAUCUGCUCCCGCAAUGACUUGCUGGUCAGAGAGCGGAGAAAGGCGUAGGCGCCGAAGCGGAUCGCCGCAGCAACGGCGCUCUGCUGGGCUAUAGGAGAACAUCCUGUAGACUGUCGCACCUAUUUGUGCGGAGCGCUAUUA